rnacentral:rRNA from 1 species
UACGUAGGGUGCGAGCGUUGUCCGGAAUUACUGGGCGUAAAGAGCUCGUAGGCGGUUUGUCGCGUCGUCUGUGAAAACUCGGAGCUUAACUCCGGGCGUGCAGGCGAUACGGGCAGACUUGAGUACUACAGGGGAGACUGGAAUUCCUGGUGUAGCGGUGAAAUGCGCAGAUAUCAGGAGGAACACCGGUGGCGAAGGCGGGUCUCUGGGUAGUAACUGACGCUGAGGAGCGAAAGCAUGGGUAGCGAACAGG